UUUUUUUUUUUAAUUUCUUUUUUUUAAAUUUUUAUUUAUUUAUUUAUGAUAGUCACAGAGAGAGAGAGGCAGAGACACAGGCAGAGGGAGAAGCAGGCUCCAUGCAUCAGGAGCCCGACGUGGGAUUCGAUCCCGGGUCUCCAGGAUCGCGCCCUGGGCCAAAGGCAGGCGCCAAACCGCUGCGCCACCCAGGGAUCCCCUCACUAAUGGUUUUUCUUGGAGAGCUAACCAACUGCGUCUAUGCCAUAAUAAAAUAUUUGAAAUAUAAAGAUAAAUUUCUCCAAUAUUUUCUUUCACUUUUUGGCCUUUCAUGGACUCAAUAGCUAGAUAUGCAUUGCCUCAAGGAAAAAGUAAAGCAACAGAAAGAUCUUAACAUUGAAUUUUUUGGCUGGCUGUUGAGUUUACAAAGCAGAGACCGUAGACAGAAACUGAUGGGACUCGUGAAACCAAAUAUACAAUAGACUCUGGAGAGUACAUGAUGUAAGUGCAGCGCGUAUCACCAGGUAUGGACAGGGUGGACAGGGAGGGACAAAGAGAAACUAAGAGGCGGACAUUGAUACUGUGGGUCUUUGAGAAAGGAGGGGUGCCUGUACCUCGUGCAAGUGUUGGCUGAUUUCCCAGAUCAGGGCAAAAAUAUCCCAGAAAGGGUCUGGAGGAGUCUAACCAUAGAGACUUUGGUUGCUCCCUUCCCAGGUGGAGCUCUGUGCACAAGAAGACUCUGGACAGGAAAUGGCUCAGUGUACAGGAAGACCCAGGACAGGAGUGGCUCAGUGUACAGGAAGACCCUGGGCAGGAAGUGGCUCCAGGAUGUGUCCAGGGUCUUGAUCACCUCAUGGAGUUCCCAGUGGCCUGAGUGUUAAAGAUCAGUGAAAUAAAAUGUGUAUCAACAAUGGCCUUGGGUAGCACCAUACCCAAGCUUACCAUGGCUCUUAGGGCAUGCGGGAGCAGACGAUUUUCAUGCUUUCAUGCAGAAGAUUUGAGCAGCAGGCAGAGUAGGCUCUAGAGCCACCAAGGGGAGCAUAAACAAGAAAUGACUCAGUAGGAACUCUUGUGGGUUCCCGAGGAACAGAUGCAAAUGCAAUCAAUCUGAGGGAUGUUCUUCCCCCCACUGCCUGGACACUGGAGAAAACUUAGCUUUAACUUCAGGGAAAAGGGAGCACCCCAGGUUGACUGAGAUUCAGAUGCUGUUAGGAAGACAGGUAACUAGGGGCACCUGGGGGGCUCAGUCAGUUAAGUGUCUGCCUUCAGCUCAGGUCAUGAUCCCAGGGCCCUGGGAUGGAGCCCCGCAUGUGGCUCCCUGCUCAGCAGGGGGCCUGUUCUUCCCUCCCUCUGCCUGCCACUCCCCCUGCUUGUGCUCUCUCUCUGUUAGAUAGAUAGAUAGAUGAUAGAUAGAUAGAUAGAUAGAUAGAUAGAUAGAUAGAUAGUUAGAUAGAUAGAGGAAGACAGGUGGCUUACAUUAGAUUUACAUUGGAUUGGAGAAAAAUAGAAGUUUUUUUUCUUUGCACACUUUGAGAGCUGAAAUAGUUACCUGAAAUUCUGUAUAACCUCUAUAAAAGAAUUAUCUGGAAAAUAUUCCUUUUAUAAAUAUAAGCAUUAGGUUCAUUUGAUGGCUGACUUUAUUUCUGGACAUUCCAGGUUGAAUUGGAGUGACCUCACCACAGAUUUAAAAGGUGUAAGCAGGCGUAGUGUUGUUCUGUGUAACCUUGGGCAAGUUUCCUAACCUUAUUAUUGGUUCCCUAAUAAUCUACAAAAUGGGAAUAUCAAUGAUUCCUAGUUCAUAAGAUUGUGGGGAAGAUUAAAUUAGCUAUCAUACAAAGCGUGUGCAUAGUGACUAGGAUAUUUUAAGAGCUCACUAAAAGUUAGCCAAAAUAAAUACCUUAAAUAUGAUUUUAAGAAUGUGAUUUUGAGAAGAGGUGCCUAUGAAGAAAGAUAUUUAGGGUUUAAAGUUAAAACCUCAUGAAGUUGACUUAGGAUCUAUGGGUGCAUUUAAUAACGUUGGUGAUUUGCACGGCCCAUAGUACCUAACAUGAACGAGAGUCAUAUAUGUACAGUUACAUCAAAUAUUUAUAGUGUUUUCUCCCAUCUCCGAUGCUUUUCCAACAUUUUGACUUAUCGUCAAUUAAUAUUCACAGCUUCUUUUUCAUGCACAGUUCAAUAUUUUCAAUACUUUUUAUGUGCAUUAAUAGAAAAUUUUUAAAAAGUGUCAAUAUGUUCUCGGCAGCUAGAAUUUCAGGAUGCACACGUGAAAAAAGGUGAUUGUAAUGCAUUAUGGGAUUUGGGAUAAAAAGUAGAACUGGUGUCAGUCCACCUUCGCACUAUCCCGCCAUAUAUCCCUCUUUGUCUCUGUCUUGUCUCUCUGUCUCCCUCACAGUCCAGCCACACUAGUCUUAUUUCAAUCACUCAAUCAAGGUAUUCUUACCCCUGACCCCAGGGGUCAGGGUCAAGAAUUUGCACUUGCUUGUUGUUCCCAAGUCUUUGCCUUUCCUUACCACUCUAGCUAAGUAGCUCUUCUCAACCUCCCACUUACACUGUUUCCUGUCUUAUAGUCCGUGUAGUUCUUAUUACUAGCUGAAAUUACCCUGUGUAUUUGUUCAGCCUCCUCCUACCCCCUGUGCAUCCCCAGGAUGUUAGUCUCUGGAGAUCAAGGACGUGGCUAUCUCCCUGACCUAAGCAGUGCCUGCCUCAAGUCUUCAUCCUGGCUGAACGGCAGAGGGGGGAAUUUUGGAGAAUAAGAGGACAUUUAAUUCUCCGACAAGGAGAUGAGUAAAAACACUAUCCAUACCUACAGGAACCGGCAGGAAAAAGAUCCUGGCUGCAUACUGGGCGAGAGGAAGCGACACCAAACAUCCACUGAUGUGAUUUGUUUGGCAAGGUGCUAUCCUACGUACUGAGAGUAGAAGCCCGCCUUCAACCGUCUUGCAGUCUACUUGGAGCAGCGAAUGCGCACUUGCACAUGCACACACACAUACCUUGCAACGCAAUUGUGUGUAAUUAAUAACGCACCAGCAAUGUCUCUAGAAAAUGUAUAGAUAGAACAAGUAAUUUAUACAGAUUUAUAUUGUCCAAGCACCAUUCUCAUGGAGAAUUACUUUUCUGGUUUUCCUAUUCUAUGGACUAAACUUUUGUCUAAAAUUGUAGCAACUGAGGCCCAUCUAUUUCAGGGAUGGAUCUAUAACUGGAGGAGUUAACAUAAAGAUUAAUAAAUAAAUGAAUAAACAAAUUGAUUCAAAAA